GCACAUGCGCAGUGCACCGCCGGCCUCUGUAGCGAUGCAAAGAUGGCGUCCUCCCUGGCUAUCUGCAAUGCACGUUUACUCAACUCUGUAGGACUGUCUUCUGGCCACCGUCGGGCUUGGUCGCUGCUUGCCUCGGCUAGACAUGGAGAAACCUGUGCCACGGCGAUCUUGGGGAUACAACGGUGCAGGAUAGGGGGCGACUUUGGCUGUUUGAGACCUGAAAAUGCAGUGACAUUGAGACUCACAGGACUGAGGUCCCCCCAUGUUGUCAGCAGUAGUCACUCCUUCCACACUAGCUGCUCCUCAGCUAACAAACAGGACUUGUAUGAUGUUCUGGGGGUGCCUCGCACAGCCACUCAGAAAGAGAUCAAGAAAGCCUACUAUCAGAUGGCUAAGAAGUACCACCCAGACACCAACCAGGAUGACCCUCAGGCCAAGGAGAAGUUUGCCAAGCUGGCAGAAGCCUACGAGGUGCUGAGUGACGAGGUCAAGAGGAAGCAGUAUGACACAUACGGGGCGGCAGGCUUCGACCCCAGCCAGGCGGGAGGGGGGGCGGGGGGACAGCAGUACUGGAGGGCCGGGGGGGCCAGCGUCGACCCAGAGGAAAUGUUCAGGAAGAUCUUCGGAGAGUUCACAGGAGCGCAGGGUUUCGGAGACUUCAACAGCAUGUUUGAACAGAGGCCAGAGUUUGUGAUGGAGCUGACGUUCACCCAGGCAGCUAAGGGAGUGAACAAGGAGAUGACAGUGAACCUGGACGGUGCCUGUCAGAGAUGUGACGGUAAAGGUAGCGAGCCGGGAACCAAGGUCCAGCACUGUCACUACUGUAAUGGCACCGGCAUGGAGUCUAUAAACACCGGUCCCUUCAUGAUGCGCUCUACGUGUCGACGCUGUGGUGGGCGGGGCUCCAUCGUGACCACGCCCUGCGUGAUGUGUCGCGGCUCGGGACAGACCAAACAGAGACAGACCGUCACCGUGCCUGUACCCGCAGGAGUAGACAAUGGACAGACUGUACGUAUGCCAGUGGGGAAGAAGGAAAUCCACAUCACAUUUAGAGUCCAGAGGAGUCCAGUGUUCAGACGUGAUGGGAUCAACAUCCACUCUGAUGUCCACAUCUCUGUAGGCCAGGCUAUUCUGGGGGGCUCUGCCCGGGCACAGGGACUCUACAACACCAUAGAUAUACAGAUCCCUCCAGGUUGCCAGGCCGACCAGAAGAUCCGUGUUCAGGGAAAGGGGAUCCAGAGGAUGAACAGCUAUAGUUAUGGAGAUCACUAUGUUCACAUCAAGAUCAGAGUACCUAAGAAGUUAACCCGGCGACAGCGCUCCCUGCUGCUGAGUUAUGCAGAGGAGGAGACUGACGUGGAGGGGACUGUCAACGGAGUCACUGCUGCUACCACAGGUGGGGGCAGGAGUGGUCAGAGCUCUGAGUCUGGGGCAGGACAGGGCAGAACAGAGGGGCAGGAGAAGAAGAAAGAAGAAGAAGAGGAGGGCGGCAUCCUUUCCAAAAUAAAGAAAAUGUUUAGCUGACAGCCACACCUCAGAGUGGGAGCUGAUCAAGGGGUCGGAAAUGUAGAUAUUGCCAGAUGUAUGUUCACUCUCCGAGGAACAGGCCGUGGAAGCUUAAUUGCUGGGUAAAGUGUCCAUAACCAGAGAUUCCAUAUGUGGAGGACCUGCUUUAUCAGGAGAAUCAUCUGGAAUCUGGAAACACUGACAAUGGGGUCACUGUUCCUGACAUCCCAUAUGCCCCCUGUCUACUGAGAAUCUUGCUGUGCUGCAACGUCAAGUGAACCCAACCACUGGACAUAUACAGCUCUGGAAAAGAUGAAGAGACCACUGCAAAAUGAUCCGUUUCUCUGGUUUUACUAUUUAUAGCUCUGUGUUUGGGUCCAAAUUUCACAGUGGGUGCGAGACACUGUGGCUUGUAGGCCUCUCCAGGUCUCGCACCCACUGUGAAAUUUGGUUGUCCUGUAAGAAAACUUGCUUCCUUCUGCGCUGACAAUGUUCCCCAACUCUGAGGAUUGGUUUUUCCAGUAGGACAAUGCUCCAUGCCACACAGCCAGGUCAAUCAAGGUGUGGAUGGAGGACCACCAGAUCAAGACCCUGUCAUGGCCAGCCCAGUCUCCAGACCUGAACCCCAUUGAAAACCUCUGGAAUGUGAUCAAGAGGAAGAUGGAUGGUCACAAGCCAUCAAACAAAGCCGAGCUGCUUGGAUCUUUGCGCCAGGAGAGGCAUAAAGUCACCCAACAUCAAUGUGAAAGACUGGUAGAGAUCAUGCCAAGACGCAUGAAAGCUGUGAUGGAAAAUUAGGCUUAUUCCACCAAAUAUUGAUUUCUGAACUCUUCCCAAGUUAAAACAUUAGUAUUGUGUUGUUUAAAAACGAAUGUGAACUUAUUUCCUUUGCAUUAUUCAAGGUCUGACAACACUGCAUCUUUUUUAUAUUUUGACCAAUUGUCAGUUUCUGCAAAUAAAUGCUCUAAAUGACAAUAUUUUUACUUGGAACUUGGGAGAAAUGUUGUCAGUAGUUUAUAGAAUAAAACAAACAUUUUAAUUUUACCUUAACACAUACAGUACCUAUAAAUAGUAACACAUACCUAUAAAUAGUAACACAUACCUAUAAAUGUACAUGCGUGCUCUUCAAUUAGUUAUGAGCCUCCAGCCUUUUUAGGUGCAGUCCUCCCACACUAUGUAGGAUAUUGUUUUAAGGGGGGGAGGGUGAAAGGAUAGCAGGCCCUGCUGUCAAAGUGAGAGAGUAGGCUAUUCUGGAUAGAGCAGGUACUUUUGUGUAGUCUAUUUCUUGUGAGGUUUUCUGUCCUCAGAUGCAGAGAGCUGUGAAAGCCUGUCUGCAGAUGAAGAGGUCGAAGGGCAGCGGUUCUCAGUCCUGUUCCCAUGGGACUCAAAGGGGGGCACAUUGUUGUUUUUGCCUUAGCACUACACAUCUGAUUCAAAUUAUCAAGUCAUCAUCAAGCUUCAAGGGGUAUUUAUCUAUUCAUUUGUGACGCUAUCCUUGAUCUGAUCCUGCUAUUGUCACAUCCUACACAAGCACAUGCAUCUAUCUAUCCAAUGUUAUCAUGAUUUGUUAUAAGGGAUACUACACUUAUAUUAUACAGGAAAUAUUAUUAACGAGAUGCUUUACAUUGAGAUACAGAUAGAGAUGUAGUAGUCCCAGAGUUAAUGAUCCAAGGUCAGCUUUGCAUUUCACCUCCUGAUGACUAUGAUGACUGACCGUGUU